rnacentral:rRNA from 1 species
AAAUUGAAGAGUUUGAUCAUGGCUCAGAUUGAACGCUGGCGGCAGGCCUAACACAUGCAAGUCGAACGGUAACAGGAAGCAGCUUGCUGCUUUGCUGACGAGUGGCGGACGGGUGAGUAAUGUCUGGGAAACUGCCUGAUGGAGGGGGAUAACUACUGGAAACGGUGGCUAAUACCGCAUAACGUCGCAAGACCAAAGAGGGGGACCUUCGGGCCUCUUGCCAUCAGAUGUGCCCAGAUGGGAUUAGCUUGUUGGUGAGGUAACGGCUCACCAAGGCGACGAUCCCUAGCUGGUCUGAGAGGAUGACCAGCCACACUGGAACUGAGACACGGUCCAGACUCCUACGGGAGGCAGCAGUGGGGAAUAUUGCACAAUGGGCGCAAGCCUGAUGCAGCCAUGCCGCGUGUAUGAAGAAGGCCUUCGGGUUGUAAAGUACUUUCAGCGGGGAGGAAGGUGUUGUGGUUAAUAACCGCAGCAAUUGACGUUACCCGCAGAAGAAGCACCGGCUAACUCCGUGCCAGCAGCCGCGGUAAUACGGAGGGUGCAAGCGUUAAUCGGAAUUACUGGGCGUAAAGCGCACGCAGGCGGUCUGUCAAGUCGGAUGUGAAAUCCCCGGGCUCAACCUGGGAACUGCAUUCGAAACUGGCAGGCUUGAGUCUUGUAGAGGGGGGUAGAAUUCCAGGUGUAGCGGUGAAAUGCGUAGAGAUCUGGAGGAAUACCGGUGGCGAAGGCGGCCCCCUGGACAAAGACUGACGCUCAGGUGCGAAAGCGUGGGGAGCAAACAGGAUUAGAUACCCUGGUAGUCCACGCCGUAAACGAUGUCUACUUGGAGGUUGUGCCCUUGAGGCGUGGCUUCCGGAGCUAACGCGUUAAGUAGACCGCCUGGGGAGUACGGCCGCAAGGUUAAAACUCAAAUGAAUUGACGGGGGCCCGCACAAGCGGUGGAGCAUGUGGUUUAAUUCGAUGCAACGCGAAGAACCUUACCUGGUCUUGACAUCCACAGAAGAAUCCAGAGAUGGAUUUGUGCCUUCGGGAACUGUGAGACAGGUGCUGCAUGGCUGUCGUCAGCUCGUGUUGUGAAAUGUUGGGUUAAGUCCCGCAACGAGCGCAACCCUUAUCCUUUGUUGCCAGCGGUUAGGCCGGGAACUCAAAGGAGACUGCCAGUGAUAAACUGGAGGAAGGUGGGGAUGACGUCAAGUCAUCAUGGCCCUUACGACCAGGGCUACACACGUGCUACAAUGGCGCAUACAAAGAGAAGCGACCUCGCGAGAGCAAGCGGACCUCAUAAAGUGCGUCGUAGUCCGGAUUGGAGUCUGCAACUCGACUCCAUGAAGUCGGAAUCGCUAGUAAUCGUGGAUUAGAAUGCCACGGUGAAUACGUUCCCGGGCCUUGUACACACCGCCCGUCACACCAUGGGAGUGGGUUGCAAAAGAAGUAGGUAGCUUAACCUUCGGGAGGGCGCUUACCACUUUGUGAUUCAUGACUGGGGUGAAGUCGUAACAAGGUAACCGUAGGGGAACCUGCGGUUGGAUCACCUCCUUA